AGUGAACGCUGGCGGUAGGCCUAACACAUGCAAGUCGAACGGCAGCACAGUAAGAGCUUGCUCUUACGGGUGGCGAGUGGCGGACGGGUGCGGAAUACCUCGGAAUCUACUUUUUCGUGGGGGAUAACGUAGGGAAACAUACGCUAAUACCGCAUACGACCUACGGGUGAAAGCUGGGGAUCUUCGGCCCUUGCGCGAUUGAAUGAGCCGAUGUCGGAUUAGCUAGUUGGCGGGGUAAAGGCACACCAAGGCGACGAUCCGUAGCUGGUCUGAGAGGAUGAUCAGCCACACUGGAACUGAGACACGGUCCAGACUCCUACGGGAGGCAGCAGUGGGGAAUAUUGGACAAUGGGCGCAAGCCUGAUCCAGCCAUACCGCGUGGGUGAAGAAGGCCUUCGGGUUGUAAAGCCCUUUUGUUGGGAAAGAAAAGCAGCAGGUUAAUACCCCGCUGUUCUGACGGUACCCAAAGAAUAAGCACCGGCUAACUUCGUG
rnacentral:rRNA from 1 species